rnacentral:antisense_RNA from 1 species
CUGCAAUUUCAGGUAGCUUUUCUGACUCUUAAAGAGAUCUCAAGUACACUUUGAGAGAAAUGCCAGCAAAAGCUGUAGUCACUUGGGAAGGAAUAAGUCUGGAAGAAAAAGAUACAGCGAACUAGCACAACGAGGAGUUUGAAAAGUUCAUGAUGGCUCACAGCUGAUGAUAGUGGCAAUCUUAAGGAUACAGAAAGCUCAUUCCUCAUGCAGGGAAGAAGAAAAUAUUCUAAAGAAGAGAUAAGCAUAUUCCAUGAAAUCAAAAAAGCGUAAAAUGCUGGAGGAGAAGUCAGUAACAAGCAGCUAAGACAACAUGGUAUAUUUGGCUAGAAGCCCACCAACUGCUAACAACCAGCUGGAGUGUAAGUCAAAAGCUAUGAGAGCCCAGAAGGAGAACAAUUAUUUAGACCUGGAGGGACCAGCUGGGAAAGUCUUUGAAGGGUCUUCAGAAAAUGGCCCAAAAGAAAAGAGGAAAAGUUAUUCUACUGAGAAGUGUUUGUGUAAUCAAAGCAACCGAGGCCUAAGAACUCACAAAAGAUUAGAAAAAGGUAAAGGAUGCCUGGAAAGCUGGACUAGGAAAAGGCUGUGAAGGGCCCUGAAUGUCACAUGUCACAUGUUGCCUACAGCAUGCAGAAUCAAAACAUGAUAAAUCAUGUCUUGAAUCAUGAUAUAUGAAGCAUGACACAUGAAUCAUGACAUGUGACAUGUUGAAUGUCACAUGUCACAUGCCAUAGGCAGCCAUCAAGAGUAUUUGAAAGGAAAGUGUAUAAUCAGGCCUGUGCUUUAGUAAGGUAAUUUGUAUAGUGUUCAGUGUAGAUUAAAAUGGAGAACACAGGUAUCAGUUUGACAUCGACAGUACAGGAAACCAUUUGGGUUUCUUGUACACCUAAAUAUUAAAACAUACAUGCAAACACACCAAUACACUAAAAUCUUGAGAGAGAGGGCCAAAAGUUCUUUGUCGCUGGACUAAAAGUGGAAAUAAAUGUUUACAACCUCUAAGGUGGAUUAAGCUAAGAAUUUGGAGUUGUUGGCAAAACUGCCACAUAAAAUUUCAGACAUGCAAAGAAAUGCAAUUGUAGACUUACACACAUACUUCCACCAGAGAAGGGAAUCUGGGCAGAGUGGAUGACGUAAAAAACGUGUUCAAAGCUUAAGAAAUUCCUUGCUCUUCACCAAGAAGAGCCAACAACGUUUUCUUUGAAUCAACUCUCAUAUUCCCUUAAAAAGAAGUUGAUAAUGUUGUGGAAAACUCACCUAUUGAAGUGAUAACAAAAACAGCAACCCAGUAUGAGUUAACUGGUAUUAUGUUAAAGGGACAAGUAACUGCACUUUCGACACACACCCUCUAAAAGGUAGGGUGGGAGUGUUUCAAAGAAUCAAGUCUGAGUAAUAGAAAAGCAUAUACAACUUCCCCAUAUACAUGUUCAAGCAUGGGGGAGCAGGAGGCUGGGUAAUUGAAUGCAGUUCUGCGCACUGGCCAUUUUCCCACCACAUACCAUUUCUUCGGUGUCUCUCCCAAAAUUCUCCUUCUAAGUGACACAUCCCUUUAUUGAUCAUCUUUCCUCAUACUGAUCAUCCUCAGCAAUCAUGUGAGUUAUUAGUCUAAGUAAUUUUUUUCUCAAAUAUGGUCUUUUAACUACUCCCUAAAUAUUUUAUGUAUACAUAGUUUGUUUUCCCAAUUUAACUACAAGCAUUUAAAAAAUGGGAAUAUUUGUCUAUAUUUCUGUAAUUUUUCAUCAUGCCUUAUGUGGUAUAUAAAGAUCAACAGCAAUAAAACAACAAAAGUAAUAAUAGCUAAGACCUUUUG